UACAGAGGUCUCAAGCGUUGUUCGGAUUCAUUGGGCGUAAAGGGUGCGUAGGUGGCGCGCUAAGUCGGGUGUGAAAUCUCGGAGCUUAACUCCGAAACUGCAUUCGAUACUGCGGUGCUUGAGGACUGGAGAGGAGACUGGAAUUCAUGGUGUAGCAGUGAAAUGCGUAGAGAUCAUGAGGAAGACCAGUGGCGAAGGCGGGUCUCUGGACAGUUCCUGACACUGAGGCACGAAGGCCAGGGGAGCAAACGGG
rnacentral:rRNA from 1 species